rnacentral:rRNA from 1 species
AGAGUUUGAUCAUGGCUCAGGAUGAACGCUAGCGGCAGGCUUAACACAUGCAAGUCGAGGGGUAACAGGAGAAAGCUUGCUUUCUCGCUGACGACCGGCGAACGGGUGCGUAACACGUAUGCAACCUACCCUUAACAGGGGGAUAGCCCAGAGAAAUCUGGAUUAAUACCCCAUAAUAUCUCAGUUUCACAUGAUUUUGAGAUUAAAGUUCCAACGGUUAAGGAUGGGCAUGCGUCCCAUUAGUUUGUUGGUGAGGUAACGGCUCACCAAGACUACGAUGGGUAGGGGGUCUGAGAGGAUGAUCCCCCACACUGGUACUGAGACACGGACCAGACUCCUACGGGAGGCAGCAGUGAGGAAUAUUGCGCAAUGGAGGAAACUCUGACGCAGCCAUGCCGCGUGCAGGAAGACGGCCCUACGGGUUGUAAACUGCUUUUAUAUGGGAAGAAACCCUCUUACGUGUAAGAGGCUGACGGUACCAUACGAAUAAGGACCGGCUAACUCCGUGCCAGCAGCCGCGGUAAUACGGAGGGUCCAAGCGUUAUCCGGAUUUAUUGGGUUUAAAGGGUCCGUAGGCGGGAUAUUAAGUCAGUGGUGAAAUCCUACAGCUCAACUGUAGAACUGCCAUUGAUACUGAUAUUCUUGAGUACGUUAGAAGUGGGCGGAAUAUGUCAUGUAGCGGUGAAAUGCAUAGAUAUGACAUAGAACACC